GUCUGGGAUAGCUCAAUCAGUAAAGCGUUGGACUUUUAAUCUCAGGGGCACGGGUUCGAGCCCCACGUUGGGUA